rnacentral:rRNA from 1 species
GAUGAACGCUAGCUACAGGCUUAACACAUGCAAGUCGAGGGGCAUCAGGAAGAAAGCUUGCUUUCUUUGCUGGCGACCGGCGCACGGGUGAGUAACACGUAUCCAACCUGCCCUUUACUCGGGGAUAGCCUUUCGAAAGAAAGAUUAAUACCCGAUAGCAUAAUGAUUCCGCAUGGUUUCAUUAUUAAAGGAUUCCGGUAAAGGAUGGGGAUGCGUUCCAUUAGGUUGUUGGUGAGGUAACGGCCCACCAAGCCUUCGAUGGAUAGGGGUUCUGAGAGGAAGGUCCCCCACAUUGGAACUGAGACACGGUCCAAACUCCUACGGGAGGCAGCAGUGAGGAAUAUUGGUCAAUGGGCGCUAGCCUGAACCAGCCAAGUAGCGUGAAGGAUGAAGGCUCUAUGGGUCAUAAACUUCUUUUAUAUAAGAAUAAAGUGCAGUAUGUAUACUGUUUUGUAUGUAUUAUAUGAAUAAGGAUCGGCUAACUCCGUGCCAGCAGCCGCGGUAAUACGGAGGAUCCGAGCGUUAUCCGGAUUUAUUGGGUUUAAAGGGAGCGUAGGUGGACUGGUAAGUCAGUUGUGAAAGUUUGCGGCUCAACCGUAAAAUUGCAGUUGAUACUGUCAGUCUUGAGUACAGUAGAGGUGGGCGGAAUUCGUGGUGUAGCGGUGAAAUGCUUAGAUAUCACGAAGAACUCCGAUUGCGAAGGCAGCUCACUGGACUGCAACUGACACUGAUGCUCGAAAGUGUGGGUAUCAAACAGGAUUAGAUACCCUGGUAGUCCACACAGUAAACGAUGAAUACUCGCUGUUUGCGAUAUACAGUAAGCGGCCAAGCGAAAGCAUUAAGUAUUCCACCUGGGGAGUACGCCGGCAACGGUGAAACUCAAAGGAAUUGACGGGGGCCCGCACAAGCGGAGGAACAUGUGGUUUAAUUCGAUGAUACGCGAGGAACCUUACCCGGGCUUAAAUUGCAGUGGAAUGAUGUGGAAACAUGUCAGUGAGCAAUCACCGCUGUGAAGGUGCUGCAUGGUUGUCGUCAGCUCGUGCCGUGAGGUGUCGGCUUAAGUGCCAUAACGAGCGCAACCCUUAUCUUUAGUUACUAACAGGUUAUGCUGAGGACUCUAGAGAGACUGCCGUCGUAAGAUGUGAGGAAGGUGGGGAUGACGUCAAAUCAGCACGGCCCUUACGUCCGGGGCUACACACGUGUUACAAUGGGGGGUACAGAAGGCAGCUAGCGGGUGACCGUAUGCUAAUCCCAAAAUCCUCUCUCAGUUCGGAUCGAAGUCUGCAACCCGACUUCGUGAAGCUGGAUUCGCUAGUAAUCGCGCAUCAGCCACGGCGCGGUGAAUACGUUCCCGGGCCUUGUACACACCGCCCGUCAAGCCAUGGGAGCCGGGGGUACCUGAAGUACGUAACCGCAAGGAUCGUCCUAGGGUAAAACUGG